UCGAACAGACCUAAAUAUUUCAGCUUCUACACCAAAAUUUUAUUUUAAUCCAACAUCGAGGUCGCAAUCUUUUUUUUCGAUAAGAACUCUCAAAAAAAAUUACGCUGUUAUCCCUAAGGUAAUUUAAUCUUUUAAUCUAAAUAAUAGGAUCAAUAAUUUAUAUAUAAAUAUUUAAAUAAAAAAAAAGUUGAUUAAAUUUUUUAAUCACCCCAACUAAAUUAAUAUUUUUCUAUAAAAACUUCCAAUUCUAAUUCUUUAUAAAUAAUUAUUAAUAAAACUCUAUAGGGUCUUCUCGUCUUUAAUUAUUAUUUAAGCUUUUUAACUUAAAAAUAAAAUUCUAAUAAACUUAAAUAGAGACAGUUAUUUUCUCAUCCAACCUUUCAUUCCAGCUUCCAAUUAAAAAACUAAUGAUUAUGCUACCUUUGCACGGUCAAAUUACCGCGGCCAUUUAAUUACUCAUUGGGCAGGCCAGACCUUAAAUUAUAAUCAAAAA
rnacentral:rRNA from 1 species